AUUGAACGCUGGCGGAAUGCUUUACACAUGCAAGUCGAGCGGCAGCGCGGGGGCAACCCUGGCGGCGAGCGGCGAACGGGUGAGUAAUGCAUCGGAACGUACCCAUUUGUGGGGGAUAACUGUCCGAAAGGACAGCUAAUACCGCAUAAGUCCUUAGGGAGAAAGCGGGGGAUCGCAAGACCCCGCGCGAAUGGAGAGGCCGACGCCGGAUUAGCUAGUUGGUAGGGUAAAGGCCUACCAAGGCGACGAUCCGUAGCUGGUCUGAGAGGAUGAUCAGCCACACUGGAACUGAGACACGGUCCAGACUCCUACGGGAGGCAGCAGUGGGGAAUUUUGGACAAUGGGGGCAACCCUGAUCCAGCCAUUCCGCGUGAGUGAAGAAGGCCUUCGGGUUGUAAAGCUCUUUCGGCAGGAACGAAACGGUCCUGGAUAAUACCUAGGGCUAAUGACGGUACCUGAAGAAGUAGCACCGGCUAACUACGUGCCAGCAGCCGCCGUAA
rnacentral:rRNA from 1 species